rnacentral:lncRNA from 1 species
UCACAUUGGCCACUCUUGCCAAGUAUUCAAAUCCUGUGGCUAGAGGAGCCGAGCCAUGCUUUCUGACUAUUCAACGGUUUGCUAACUGAGGCCUCAAGCUGUGAGUUGCAUGAAGUCUUCUCUGGUCUAGAAGAGAGGCAUCCGUGAUCUGAGCGGACCUGAAGAUGAAUUUCAGGAUGGUCCCACUAUUGGGCAGUAGAAUGUCUAGGAUAUAAAUGGGGAGGUUGGGAGGGAUGGAAUAUUCUGGUCUGGGAGAGAAGAGGACACCUACUUUUGAUUGGAGAAGACCAAGGAAGGGCUGGAGGUGCCAGGAAACUACAGCAUGGGAUCUUGCCAAUAUAAAGCAAAGUGACAGAAUUCAGCCACUGCAAAAUCAUCAGUUUUAUUCCGUUUGUUUGUGGACAGGAAACUGGUGUCCAGAGAGUUGUCAGUUGUCACUUCCUGUCCAGCAUCAUGUCCCAGGAAGUUAGUCCCAGAACCUCAGUGGAUGCACAGCUACAGACAGAUCCUUCUCCUCUGCACAUACAUCAUGUUGUGAUCUGUUUGUCAUCUCUGAGCUCAUCAGACUGCAAGCUUCAAAGGGGUGAUAGCCCUGCCACUGUAUUUUCAUGGAAUCUACACAACUUUUGAGAUAAAAAUACACAGCGAUCAAAUAUGUGACUAUGUGAUCUUAUGUGAGACGGUGAAUAUGAUACUGUGUGAGUCUUCAUGUGUAUGAGAACGUAUGUUACUGUGUGUGAAUGUGUGCUUGAGUGGGAGUGUGAAUGUGUAUGUUUGAGUAUGUGCAUGACUCUGUGUGAAUAAGUGUUUGUAAGUGUGUGACCUUCCAUGUGGGUGUAAUCAAGUGUGUGGGUUAGUGAAUGUUUGUGAGUGUGAGUACAUGAAUACCCAAGGGACUGUGAAAAUAUGCAUGUGUGACUGUGUGAGAAUGAGUGUGUAUUUGUGCAAGUGU